GAUGAACGCUGGCGGCGUGCCUAAUACAUGCAAGUCGAGCGAACGGACGAGAAGCUUGCUUCUCUGAUGUUAGCGGCGGACGGGUGAGUAACACGUGGAUAACCUACCUAUAAGACUGGGAUAACUUCGGGAAACCGGAGCUAAUACCGGAUAAUAUUUUGAACCGCAUGGUUCAAAAGUGAAAGACGGUCUUGCUGUCACUUAUAGAUGGAUCCGCGCUGCAUUAGCUAGUUGGUAAGGUAACGGCUUACCAAGGCAACGAGGCAUAGCCGACCGGAGAGGGGGAUCGGCCACACUGGAACUGAGACACGGUCCAGACUCCUACGGGAGGCAGCAGUAGGGAAUCUUCGGCAAUGGGCGAAAGCCUGACGGAGCAACGCCGCGUGAGUGAUGAAGGUCUUCGGAUCUUAAAACUCUGUUAUUAGGGAAGAACAUAUGUGUAAGUAACUGUGCACAUCUUGACGGUACCUAAUCAGAAAGCCACGGCUAACUACGUG
rnacentral:rRNA from 1 species